CAUCUCUAAGCCACAGAACAUCUGACAACUAUGAUCCGACAAGGCCGAUCAACGAACCAAGUUACCCUAGGGAUAACAGCGCAAUCCUCUCCCAGAGUCCAUAUCGACGAGAGGGUUUACGACCUCGAUGUUGGAUCAGGACAUCCUAAUGGUGCAGCCGCUAUUAAGGGUUUGUUUGUUCAACGAUUAAAGU
rnacentral:rRNA from 1 species